CCUACGGGAGGCAGCAGUGAGGAAUAUUGGUCAAUGGACGAGAGUCUGAACCAGCCAAGUAGCGUGAAGGAUGACUGCCCUAUGGGUUGUAAACUUCUUUUAUAUGGGAAUAAAAUGUUCCACGUGUGGGAUUUUGUAUGUACCAUAUGAAUAAGGAUCGGCUAACUCCGUGCCAGCAGCCGCGGUAAUACGGAGGAUCCGAGCGUUAUCCGGAUUUAUUGGGUUUAAAGGGAGCGUGGGUGGAUUGUUAAGUCAGUUGUGAAAGUUUGCGGCUCAACCGUAAAAUUGCAGUUGAAACUGGCAGUCUUGAGUACAGUAGAGGUGGGCGGAAUGCGUGGUGUAGCGGUGAAAUGCUUAGAUAUCACGAAGAACUCCGAUUGCGAAGGCAGUUCACUGGACUGCAACUGACACUGAGGCUCGAAAGUGUGGGUAUCAAACAGGAUUAGAUACCCGAGUAGUC
rnacentral:rRNA from 1 species